AGUGAACGCUGGCGGUAGGCCUAACACAUGCAAGUCGAACGGCAGCACAGUAAGAGCUUGCUCUUACGGGUGGCGAGUGGCGGACGGGUGAGGAAUACAUCGGAAUCUACUUUUUCGUGGGGGAUAACGUAGGGAAACUUACGCUAAUACCGCAUACGACCUACGGGUGAAAGCAGGGGAUCUUCGGACCUUGCGCGAUUGAAUGAGCCGAUGUCGGAUUAGCUAGUUGGCGGGGUAAAGGCCCACCAAGGCGACGACCCGUAGCUGGUCUGAGAGGAUGAUCAGCCACACUGGAACUGAGACACGGUCCAGACUCCUACGGGAGGCAGCAGUGGGGAAUAUUGGACAAUGGGCGCAAGCCUGCUCCCACCAUACCGCGUCGGUGAAGAAGGCCUUCGGGUUGUAACGCCCUUUUGUUGGGAAAGACAAGCAGCAGGUUAAUACCCCGCUGUUCUGACGGUACCCAAAGAAUAAGCCCCGGCUAACUUCGUG
rnacentral:rRNA from 1 species